GCGUCGGUCGGACCCGCUGCUUGGACUACAGAUUCUGCGCGGGGGCUCUCGGACACGACGCCAUCAAGGAAGUUGGACGACCACCCAGAGAGGGGGAAAGAAUUGUUGCAAAUCACAUCUCUGCUGAAGGAACUGUAUCCAGAAUUUACAAAGAACUCUUACAACUCAGUAGCAAAAAGGCAAAUAACCCAAUUUAAAGAUGGGCAAAGGCUCUGAAUAAGCCUUUCUCCAAAGAAGAGAGGCAAAUGGCGAGUAAGCCUAUGAGAUGCUCGGCAUCACUGGUCAGGAGGGACACACGGAACGAAUCCACCACGGGAUACUCCUUUCCACCACUAGGAUGGAAAAAAUAGAAGGCACACACACAAAGCAGACCAUGACACUCGUGGGUGAGCAGGGGGAGAAACUGGGAGACCCCUCCACCGCUGGCGGGGACGCCACCAGCAGAGCCAGGUGGGCAUUCUGGCACCUCCUCCAAAGGUUAAGCACAGAGUUCCCACGUGACCCACCGAAGUACGUGCCCGCCCGAGGGAAGUGGAGACAAAUGUCCGCAUAAAAACUCGGAACGUUCACAGCAGUGUUAUUCAUAGUCAUCAAGAAGUGGAAACAACUCAAACACCCAUCAACAGAUGAAUGGAGAAAUAAAACAUGGCAUCUGCGUA